GAGCCUGAAAAUGCUAAAAUCAUUUAAUUAGAUCUCCAUUCACAGUCAAUCUUUUAGUGGAGCAUGAAUAUAUGAACAAAGCAUGAGGCUAAGAACAAUAAAAGGAGAGGAUCCAAAUCCAAUUUAUUAUGUUACUUUGUUUGAGACUUAAAUUUUGUAAUUUUUGUUCUUUGAUUUUUUUUUAUAGGUGAGCCUCACUUCUUUCAAGGAUCUUACUUGUGUUUCACAAAGGAUUGGACUAGAAGAUGUUUACCUGCAAAGGAAGGAAGGAGCAACAGGAUUUAAGAAGAGCAUACACUACCAAUGAAGCCUACACCACCAAUAAAGGAAAGGAUCAAAAGGCAACAAAAAAAAUUACACGGACUAAUACCAAAAGUAGUUGUAACUGCAAGGACUUAUCACAUAUAUAAGCCUAUAUUACUGGUAGGGACAUCGGCAUUUUAUAUGCGGAAGUUGGAGUUUGAAG